GACGAACGCUGGCGGCGUGCUUAACACAUGCAAGUCGAACGCUGAAGGCCCAGCUUGCUGGGUUGGAUGAGUGGCGAACGGGUGAGUAACACGUGAGUAACCUGCCCCCUUCUUUUGGGAUAACGGUCGGAAACGGCUGCUAAUACCGGGUAUUCACUGUCCUUCGCAUGGGGGGUGGUGGAAAGGUUUUUUCUGGUGGGGGAUGGGCUCGCGGCCUAUCAGCUUGUUGGUGGGGUGAUGGCUUACCAAGGCUUUGACGGGUAACCGGCCUGAGAGGGUGACCGGUCACAUUGGGACUGAGGUACGGCCCAGACUCCUACGGGAGGCAGCAGUGGGGAAUAUUGCACAAUGGGCGAAAGCCUGAUGCAGCGACGCCGCGUGAGGGAUGACGGCCUUCGGGUUGUAAACCUCUUUCGCUCAUGGUCAAGCCGCAGCUUUGGGUUGUGGUGAGGGUAGUGGGUAAAGAAGCGCCGGCUAACUACGUGCCAGCAGCCGCGGUAAUACGUAGGGCGCGAGCGUUGUCCGGAAUUAUUGGGCGUAAAGGGCUUGUAGGCGGUUGGUCGCGUCUGCCGUGAAAUCCUCUGGCUUAACUGGGGGCGUGCGGUGGGUACGGGCUGACUUGAGUGCGGUAGGGGAGACUGGAACUCCUGGUGUAGCGGUGGAAUGCGCAGAUAUCAGGAAGAACACCGGUGGCGAAGGCGGGUCUCUGGGCCGUUACUGACGCUGAGGAGCGAAAGCGUGGGGAGCGAACAGG
rnacentral:rRNA from 1 species